rnacentral:rRNA from 1 species
GACGAACGCUGGCGGCGUGCCUAAUACAUGCAGGUAGAACGCUGAAGGAGGAGCUUGCUCUUCUGGAUGAGUUGCGAACGGGUGAGUAACGCGUAGGUAACCUGCCUGGUAGCGGGGGAUAACUAUUGGAAACGAUAGCUAAUACCGCAUAACAGUAGAUGUUGCAUGACAUUUACUUAAAAGGUGCAAUUGCAUCACUACCAGAUGGACCUGCGUUGUAUUAGCUAGUUGGUGGGGUAACGGCUCACCAAGGCGACGAUACAUAGCCGACCUGAGAAGGUGAUCGGCCACACUGGGACUGAGACACGGCCCAGACUCCUACUGGAGGCAGCAGUAGGGAAUCUUCGGCAAUGGACGGAAGUCUGACCGAGCAACGCCGCGUGAGUGAAGAAGGUUUUCGGAUCGUAAAGCUCUGUUGUAAGAGAAGAACGAGUGUGAGAGUGGAAAGUUCACACUGUGACGGUAUCUUACCAGAAAGGGACGGCUAACUACGUG